rnacentral:misc_RNA from 1 species
GAUGAAGAACGUAGCGAAAUGCGAUAAGUAGUGUGAAUUGCAGAAUUCAGUGAAUCAUCGAAUCUUUGAACGCACAUUGCGCCCCUUGGUAUUCCAUGAGGCAUGCCUGUUCGAGCGUCAUUUGUACCUUCAAGCUCUGCUUGGUGUUGGGUGUUUGUCUCGCCUCUGCGUGUAGACUCGCCUCAAAACAAUUGGCAGCCGGCGUAUUGAUUUCGGAGCGCAGUACAUCUCGCGCUUUGCACUCAUAACGACGACGUCCAAAAGUACAUUUUUACACUCUUGACCUCGGAUCAGGUAGGGAUACCCGCUGAACUUAAGCAUAUCAAUAAGCGGAGGA